ACCGAAGCUGCGGCAUCAGUAGAAAUACUGUUGGGUAGGGGAGCGUUGUGUAAGCGGAAGAAGGUGGACUGGGAGGUUUGCUGGACGUAUCACAAGUGCGAAUGCUGACAUAAGUAACGAUAAAGCGGGUGAAAGGCCCGCUCGCCGGAAGACCAAGGUUUCCUGUCCAACGUUAAUCGGGGCAGGGUGAGUCGGCCCCUAAGGCGAGGCUGAAGAGCGUAGUCGAUGGGAAAUGGGUUAAUAUUCCCAUACUUGUUAUGUAAGUGAUGUAGGGACGGAGAAGGCUAGGCAAGCAGACGGACGGAAGUGUCUGUUCAAGCGUGAAGGUAGGAUACUUAGGCAAAUCCGGGUAUCUAAUACUGAGGCGUGAAGAGGAGCGACUAAGGUUGCGAAGUUGUUGAUGCCCCGCUUCCAGGAAAAGCUACUAAGCGAAUUACAUAAUAAACCGUACUGAAAACCGACACAGGUGGUCAGGUAGAGAAUACUAAGGCGCUUGAGAGAACUCGGGUGAAGGAACUAGGCAAAAUAGCACCGUAACUUCGGGAGAAGGUGCGCUGGCGUAGUGUGAAGUCUGUACGGAUGGAGCAUGAACCAGUCGAAGUGACCCGCUGGCUGCAACUGUUUAAUAAAAACACAGCACUCUGCAAACACGUAAGUGGACGUAUAGGGUGUGACGCCUGCCCGGUGCUGGAAGGUUAAUUGAUGGUGUAAUCGAAAGAGAAGCACUUGAUCGAAGCCCCAGUAAACGGCGGCCGUAACUAUAACGGUCCUAAGGUAGCGAAAUUCCUUGUCGGGUAAGUUCCGACCUGCACGAAUGGCGUAAUGAUGGCCAGGCUGUCUCCACCCGAGACUCAGUGAAAUUGAAAUCGCCGUGAAGAUGCGGUGUACCCGCGGCUAGACGGAAAGACCCCGUGAACCUUUACUAUAGCUUGACACUGAACCUUGAAUUUUAAUGUGUAGGAUAGGUGGGAGACUGAGAGCCAUUAACGCCAGUUAGUGAGGAGUCGAUGUUGAAAUACCACCCUUUAACGUUUGAUGUUCUAACGAGGUACCUGGAACGGGUAUUCGGACAGUGUCUGGUGGGUAGUUUGACUGGGGCGGUCUCCUCCCAAAGAGUAACGGAGGAGCACGAAGGUUUGCUAAUCACGGUCGGACAUCGUGAGGUUAGUGCAAUGGUAGAAGCAAGCUUAACUGCGAGAC
rnacentral:rRNA from 1 species